GACGAACGCUGGCGGCGUGCUUAACACAUGCAAGUCGAACGGUAAGGCCCUUCGGGGUACACGAGUGGCGAACGGGUGAGUAACACGUGGGUGAUCUGCCCUGCACUUCGGGAUAAGCCUGGGAAACUGGGUCUAAUACCGGAUAGGACCACUGCCUGCAUGGGUGGUGGUGGAAAGCUUUUGCGGUGUGGGAUGGGCCCGCGGCCUAUCAGCUUGUUGGUGGGGUGAUGGCCGACCAAGGAGACGACGGGUAGCCGGCCUGAGAGGGUGACCGGCCACAGUGGGACUGAGAUGCGGACCAGACUGCUACUGGAGGCAGCAGUGGGGAAUACUGCACAAUGGGCGAAGGCCUGAUGCAUCGAAGCGGCGUGGGGGAUGACGGCCUUCGGGAUGUAAGCCUCUUUCAGCACCGACGAAGCGCAAGUGACGGUAGGUGCAGAAGAAGGACCGGCCAACUACGUGCCAGCCGCCGCCGUAACAC
rnacentral:rRNA from 1 species